CACACACACACAAUCUCACAGUGAGGUGCAGUGUCUCAGAGAUUCAGCGAGGUUGCAGUGUCUCGGAGAUUCAGCGAGGUUGCAGUGUCUCAGAGAUUCAGUGAGGGUGCAGUGUCUCAGAGAGGUUGCAGUGCCUCAGAGAGGUUGCAGUGUCUCAGAGAUUCAGUGAGGUUGCAGUGUCUCAGAUUCAGUGAGGGUGCAGUGUCUCAGAGAUUCAGUGAGGGUGCAGUGUCUCAGAGAUUCAGUGAGGUUGCAGUGUCUCAGAGAGGUUGCAGUGUCUCAGAGAGGUUGCAGUGUCUCAGAGAUUCAGAGAGGUUGCAGUGUCUCAGAGAUGAGCAUAACCUGAAUACUGCAUCCCAGUUAUCCAGCUCUGCGCCCUGCACUUCUAAUAAUAAAAUAGUAAUCACUAACAAACUUUGUGCUAGAGACCUCGCACUCCAGUCCUUCCCUUGUACAGCUCUUUUUUUUUUUAAAAACCCACUCGAUUACAGUGACAGACGUCCUUGUGUAGAAAUGAUCUAUCGAACACAAACCUGCCUGGUUUUCAUCUGCGAUUUUUUCCUUCGUUUUGAAAAACGUUGUGCCAAAUUGGGAAGGGAGCGUCCUUCCUUCAGACACACAGCAGCCUCGUUAAAUCAGACAGCCAGUAGCAUAAAGUUUGUGCGACCGCAUGAAGUUUACCAGCUUCUCUACAAGCGAGGACAGUACAGAGUUUGUCUUGCGUUUCCGUCGUUUGAAUGACGGCAGACUCUGGAUCAGGGGAACACAGUACUGUGGAAGGUUUGGGGAAAGGAACUUCCCAGUAUCUCAAAGUGCAAAGUGCAGUGACGUCUGAAUAAUUUUGUACUGCUCGGUCUAUAUUAGAUGUGAAUAUGUAUGUCAGACUGAGGCUAAUGUUCGGUGUCACUGGGGUAGUUUUACCUGUUAAUGUGUUUUUAAGGAAACAGGAUUGUCAAUCCAGGGACUGUGGUUAAUGAUACUGCCAGGAACUUAAUGGAUGGGGCUGGAUACAAUGCGUCCAGAACUGCAUGCUCCAGUUUUGUUGUAUUCCGGAAGCAGAGCUGUACAAUGCAAAGCUGUACGCCAGGCAAGAAUAUGCUCAUCAUACAGUACAGUGUGUUGUCGUUUUUCUUUCUAUCAUACGUCAUACAAGUUUGAUCAGCAUCUAACAGUUUUAACACUGAGAGCGGGACAACUCUGCUUGCACCAAUCCUGUUUAUUUGUUUAGAAUUUGGAAUUUAUUUUAUAAUGGAAAAUGGAAUUGGAAUUGAAAAACAGGACAGUCCUGAUCCAGUACUUUGACAGCAAAGUCGUUUGUUGUAGCGACACGCGUCUGUACCAAGUUAUUGGGGAUCCAUUCAUGCUCAGUCCCUUUUUGAAGAAAUGUUAAAUGCCUUUGCCUGUGCAGAUUUAGCAGCAUUGCACGGUUUUGUGACGCACGAUUCAGGUAGAUCUAAAAGUAAACCGAUCUGUUAGCAGAAAUAGUAGAUUUGUCUAACCUCCUUGCUGUGACAGUGCUGUUCUGAAGCUCUUUUUUCUUCAAGAAAUUGUUCAGCAAGAAUGUGUGUGCUCAACUGGCAAAUCUGCUGCUCCGAGCGGACCUGGGUUCAAUUCCAGUACCUUUUUUUUUUUUUUUUAAUCGAAAGGGCCUGUUUUAUGAUAAUCAGGGCACUUUGCAAGAACCCCAUUUUUGUUUAUUUACGAAUGCAAAGAUUUGUUCUGCGUUUUAAACGGAGGCAGAUGCUGCAUCUGAAAUGUGUUUGGUCACUAGAAACAGAAAAACAUAGUCAGUAUUGUGUGCUGAACUGCUGAGCACUUUAAGCCAAAACGAGGCACAUAACGAUCCAGCUUUACUUACUCUCUCUAAUGGCAGUAGUGCUGUAGUGGUUGGGUUAGAACUUAUUAGGGGUGUGCUGAUACUCCUACUUGUAAUUGCCUCUGAGAAGCAUCGAUCGGCAGGUAUUAAAUAAAUCCAUUCAUUAAUGUGUUGAUUUAAAAAUAAGAAAAGUCGUCCUUCCCUCACCUUCACAAUUGAGUGUACUUAAUUGCAAAGGUGAAGGAAGGACAGCCUUUCCUUAUUUGAAAUCGACACAGUGCGUGAAUGAAUGAAUGGAUGUAUUUAAUACCUGCCUAUAAAUGCAUUUUAAAGGCAGUUACGAGUCUGAGUAAGUGGGUUUUUAUUAAUAUCAUAUACAUACUGAAUAUCACAUACAUGUAUAUAUUUAUUUAUUUUAUUUUAUUGUUAUUUAAAAGUAAAUUUUUAUAUGAGUCUGCCAUUUACAUUUAGAUUUUUUUUUUUUUUUUUUUUUUCUGUCCUCUUGCAGUUACUCAGAUUCUUUCAAAGGUGUUAAUGUGUUUUCACUUGGAGUUCAAGUCGCGCCUCAGUUCUGGUUUUCUGCCCCUGUAAUCAAGACUAAAUCAACUUGAGUGCCUUUUGGGAAGUACAGCUGUGGCCGAAAGUUUUGCAUCACCUCGAAUUUUUGGAUUGAGACCAUAAAAUAAUUAAAAAAAAAAUAUAUGAACAUAAUUUAGAUCUCUAACAUCAUGUAUUGAAAGAAAAUUGAAAUGAUAUCGCAAAAGUCUACCAGAAGCUAUAAUGUUAGUACAGUAUUUCAUGUUGGCGGUAUGUAAUUCAGU